rnacentral:rRNA from 1 species
AUGAACGCUGGCGGCGUGCCUAAUACAUGCAAGUCGAGCGAACGGACGAGAAGCUUGCUUCUCUGAUGUUAGCGGCGGACGGGUGAGUAACACGUGGAUAACCUACCUAUAAGACUGGGAUAACUUCGGGAAACCGGAGCUAAUACCGGAUGAUAUUUUGAACCGCAUGGUUCAAAAGUGAAAGACGGUCUUGCUGUCACUUAUAGAUGGAUCCGCGCUGCAUUAGCUAGUUGGUAAGGUAGCGGCUUACCAAGGCAACGAUGCAUAGCCGACCUGAGAGGGUGAUCGGCCACACUGGAACUGAGACACGGUCCAGACUCCUACGGGAGGCAGCAGUAGGGAAUCUUCCGCAAUGGGCGAAAGCCUGACGGAGCAACGCCGCGUGAGUGAUGAAGGUCUUCGGAUCGUAAAACUCUGUUAUUAGGGAAGAACAUAUGUGUAAGUAACUGUGCACAUCUUGACGGUACCUAAUCAGAAAGCCACGGCUAACUACGUG